rnacentral:rRNA from 1 species
UACGUAGGUGGCAAGCGUUGUCCGGAUUUACUGGGCGUACAGCGCGCGCAGGCGGUUGCGUAUGUGAGCGGUGACAUCCGCGGGCUCAACCCGCGGCGGCCCGCUUACACAGCGCGACUGGAGGCAGGGAGAGGGAUGUGGAAUACCCGGUGGAGCGGUGAAAUGCGUAGAGAUCGGGUGGAACACCAGCGGCGAAGGCGGCAUCCUGGCCCUGUACUGACGCUGAGGCGCGAUAGCGUGGGGAGCAAACGGG